rnacentral:rRNA from 1 species
AUGAAGCUUCUCAAUUUGUCCUUCAAUAAUCUCGAGGAUCCAGUACCAUCAGAUGGGAUAUUUCAGAAUGGAAGCAAGGUUUUCAUUCAAGGGAAUGUGAAGUUAUGUACCAGCAUUCCAUUGCUACAGCUGCCAUUUUGCAAUGCAGAGACAUCCAAACAAAGGAAUGUCUCCAGCAUUUUCAAGAUGGUAGGAUUUACAGUUCUCUCUUUGGUCCUGUUAUCAUGCUUUGCAACCAUUAUUUUGAAGAAGAAAAAGAAACUCAAACAAGCAGCUCAUCCAUCCUGCAAAGAGUUGAAGAAGUUCACAUAUGCAAAUUUAGUGAGAGCAACAAAUGGUUUCUCACCAGAUAACAUGGUCGGUUCAAGAAAAUAUGGUUCUGUGUACAGAGGUAGAAUUGAAUCUGAAGAACAUGAAGUUGCCAUCAAAGUUUUCAAACUCAAUCAACUCAGAGCACCAAAAAGCUUCAUUGCUGAGUGCAAGGCAUUGAGGAACACUCGUCACAGGAAUCUUAUAAGGGUGAUUACAGCAUGCUCAACCAUUGAUCCAACAGGACAUGAUUUCAAAGCUAUUGUUCUUGAAUAUAGUGUUAACAGUGACCUGGAAAGUUGGCUCCAUCCAACAGUCCAUGAGGUUGGUCAAAGAAGGCCGUUGAGUUUCGGUACAAGAAUAGUAAUAGCAGUGGACAUAGCUGCUGCUUUGGAUUACCUCCAUAACCAAUGUGUGCCUCCUAUGGCACACUGUGAUCUGAAGCCUAGCAAUGUCCUUUUGGAUGAUUUCAUGGGCGCCCGUGUUGGCAAUUUCGGGUUGGCUAAGUCCCUGCAUAGUCAUAAUUCUUCGGACAUUCAUAGUUCUACAAGCUUAGUGGGGCCAAGAGGAUCGGUUGGAUACAUUGCACCAGAAUAUGGCUUUGGGAGCAAAAUCUCCACUGAGGGCGAUGUAUUUAGCUAUGGAGUCAUCAUCUUGGAAAUGCUAAUAGGAAAGCGUCCAACUGAUGAGAUGUUUAAAGAUGGCCUGCGCCUUUACAAAUUUGUUGAAAAAUCAUUUCCUCAAAAGAUUGAGGAGAUUCUAGACCCUAGGAUAGUUCCAGGUUAUAGAGAUGAAGGUGAAGAUGCAGGAGGUGAUUUAGACUGGGAAACUCAUCGAAUGGUUGCUAUGAACUGCAUCAUAAAGCUCACUGAGCUUGGAUUGUUGUGCUCUGCGGUGACACCUAAAGAUCAGCCCACUAUACAGCACGUAUACAACGAAGUUACCGCAAUCAAAGAAUCAUUUCCAGCAUUGCAGGGCUGA